UGCCAGCAGCCGCGGUAAUACGAAGGGGGCAAGCGUUGUUCGGAAUCACUGGGCGUAAAGCGCACGUAGGCGGACUGAUCAGUUGGGGGUGAAAUCCCAGGGCUCAACCCUGGAACUGCCUCCAAAACUACUAGUCUUGAGUUCGAGAGAGGUGAGUGGAAUUCCGAGUGUAGAGGUGAAAUUCGUAGAUAUCAGGAGGAACACCUGUGGCGAAGGCGGCCACCUGGACGGGUAUUGACGCUGAGACGCGAAAGCGUGGGUAGCAAACAGGAUUAGAUA
rnacentral:rRNA from 1 species